GACCUAGUAGCGGAGGGCCCGCGCCUGCUUUCAAUAGCACAUCUUCGGUCAUAGCAGGAACUAAUCCCUGGUUCGACUCCAGGCUAGGUCA